rnacentral:rRNA from 1 species
CCUACGGGAGGCAGCAGUAGGGAAUCUUCGGCAAUGGGCGAAAGCCUGACCGAGCAACGCCGCGUGAGUGAAGAAGGGUUUCGGCUCGUAAAACUCUGUUGCCAGAGAAGAACGGUAUCUAGUUAACUGCUAGGUACGUGACGGUAUCUGAGAAGAAAGCCCCGGCUAACUACGUGCCAGCAGCCGCGGUAAUACGUAGGGGGCAAGCGUUGUCCGGAAUUAUUGGGCGUAAAGCGCGCGCAGGCGGUUGUUUAAGUCUGGGGUAUAAGUUCGGGGCUCAACCCCGUAUCGCCCUGGAAACUGGGUGACUGGAGUGUAGGAGAGGAAAGUGGAAUUCCACGUGUAGCGGUGAAAUGCGUAGAGAUGUGGAGGAACACCAGUGGCGAAGGCGACUUUCUGGCCUGUAACUGACGCUGAGGCGCGAAAGCGUGGGGAGCAAACAGGAUUAGAUACCCUGGUAGUCCACGCCGUAAACGAUGCAUGCUAGGUGUCGGGGGUUUCAAUACCCGCGGUGCCGAAGUUAACACAUUAAGCAUGCCGCCUGGGGAGUACGCUCGCAAGAGUGAAACUCAAAUGAAUUGACGGGG